AGAUGAGCUUAUAUACAAAAUAUUACCUCUAAUUCUUCUAUGAAAACCAAUUUUGUUUUUCAAGCUUUGAAAUUCCAAAUCAACAUUCUAAUAUUGCACAGAGGACUAUAAUGGACAGCCUUUCAUUCACAUUCCCAAACUGCAAGUGUCCAGUAAAGAAGAAAUAAUAUGGUCCAUACUACCACAAAGAGGGGAUAAUAACAGCUAACGCUGAUCCAGUCACCACUUGACCUGGGACAGCACCUAGAAUACAGGAAGUCUCUCAGCUUCUAAUGAAAUUGGAAACAUGGAGCAAAUC
rnacentral:lncRNA from 1 species